AUUUUAUAAUUUUAAAUGUAUAGUGUACAUACAAGUUCCUGUUUUAACUAAUUUUUAGUUUCAUCCUAUUCUAACUGUUAAUAUUAUUUUAAAUUUUAACCAGUAGAUAAAAUUUUAAACAACGCAAUUUUAAAAAUAAACAAAAUUUUUAAAUGCGGUGACCCUGCAGAUAGGGUGGACUUCCAGAAGAAGAAGAAGAAGAAGUAGCA
rnacentral:lncRNA from 1 species